UAUCAUAAGGAAUGUGUCCAUUUUCAUUGAGCAUAAUUAUGUUUAGGCUAGUGAACAUUGUUGGUUGAGCAUUUUUUUUUGACAUGCUCUUUGUCUACAUAACAAAAGCAUAACCCAAGUAAAAUGGACAGAUGAAAAGUGCAUAAAAAUUACAAUUGUGCGUCCAUGUGAUGAAUCUGUAGACAAGUGAAAUGUAGCAUGGAGGAUUUGGCCAGAUUCAUCAGCUGCUUCCAUGAAGUACCUUGGUUGUAGUUAUGACAUGGCGCUGGGGUUCUUUGUGAUGGGCAAGUUUCCAUCAUAAGUGCAUUUUAGGACAUCUGGUUUCCUCAUUACACGGGGUCCACCAGGCACCUUGCUGGGUUUGGGACGAAUGUCCUGGUCAAAGAUUGCUGUUGGAAUUGCCAGGGUUGCAACAGCAUUAGGAGAAUCAACUAUUCCAGAAAUCCUUCCUUCACAUGGGCAGCAAGAUAGCGGAAGAUACAUCUGAAAGUCAGCAUUAUUUAUACAUAUAUAUCCUCUUACUAGUAGUGAUGCAUAAGUUUGUGAGAAAUUUGGGAGAAAUAUGUCAAGUUGGGAGGUGUUAACUAUUCCUUGGAGUAACCAAAUUUAGAGAGGUAAUCAAUGGCAUUUAGCACUGCAAGCCUGUAAGCAAUGGUUGGAUCAAGGUAAUGUUGCCUUCCACCCUUGUCAACACUGAUUCCCUCAAAUACCAACCACUCUGAGAAUCGUGGCUCCACUGGCCCUAUGUUGAAGAUUGGGUUCACGUGAAAAGGAGUCGGACCCAUUGGUGUAAGGUACUCCAUUCUACCCCUUAUAAUUUCACACCUGAUGGCACAAUAACAAGUGUCAAAUCUUGGGAAAUUUACUAUUCUGAGAUGAUUUUCAAUAUUCUUUCCAAAAUCUGGGUGCAACAAUAAUAUAUACUUAUAGAAAAUGUUAGGAUAUGGAAAAUGAAUAUCUACUUGAGCUCUAGAAAACCAGUCAUCUCGAUUGCCCCGCAGAAUGAGACUUCACCAUCACCUUGAGAGAAGUGCAUGUCACCAAUUUGCUUCUUCUACAAAUAUUGGAAGCUAUAUUUUUGAACCUCUACUGAGAUUUUUUUAUGUCACAAUUUCCUCCAUUCUCCCUUCCUGCGAUAGUUCUUGCUGCCUCCUUGGCAAUCUUUUCCCACUCAGGAGUGCCCUUCUGGAUCUGCAAACGCUGUUAGAAUUAGCAGAUUUCCUGCAGCUAGAAGUUAGUAUAGUUUCAAUGCUAGUAGCCAACACCUACUACCAGAAUUGUUGUAGGCACAAUUUGCACUUGCAAUGUUGGCAUAAACAAUACUCAGGUAAGUUGGCGCUACUAUCUGCAUCUAUCACUGUUUUUUAGUGACUAAAAUUUUGGAUAUUUAAUCUGCAUUAAGUCGGAGGCUAAAGCAACUUUCUCAAAAUCCUCAUUUAUUUUAAUUUCAUACCUUUCCAAGAUGGCAUCCUUUUGUUGAUGUAAAUUUGCUAGUGGUUUAGACUGCAAAACGUGGCAUAGUUUGAAAGUCUUCAGCGGUUUAGCCCAUUUUCUUCAAUAUCUCCUUCCCUUUCAUUCCAUAUAUGGAGGAGUUCCAUUGAUGGUGUAGUUCCAACUAUUCCAGGGAGAGUCAAAACUGGAAAUUUUACCCCUGAUAUGCAUACGGAAUCAUGUAAUUACUGCAUAUAGUAGACUACUCUUUUGUUCAAUCUUAUGGGCAUGAUUGUAGAUUUGCUUCUAUAAUAUGGAAUAUCUGGUAGGGAAAGGGAAAGGUAAUACAAUUCUUUUACCUGGUAUGUGAGGAGAAUAGGCAUAUAUUCCUUCACAAUACCAAAUAGCUUUGGUUGCACUAGGGAAAUGGUCAGUGAGAUAACAUCCUCCAUUUUCUCUGUCAAAUGUUGCUGUGAAAUCCCAUUCAUCUCCAGGAAGAGGACCCAAGUUGCAAAUUUCAACCUUAAGGAGAUCACCUGGCUUGGCUGGAAUUCCUUCCUUGUCCAUAACUCUGAUCAGUCCGCUCAGAUAAUGAACCUGGAGGAAUCUCCAAGCGUACCAUACUUAACAGUCACCCAAAUGGAUCUUACUUGAUAUUGCAAUUGCUUUGCUUAGUCUCAAUAUGCAAGUUCUUGUGAUCUAGUUAAACAUUCUCUUUCUGCCUAAAGUGACUAAAAGUUUGGCAGGGUUGACUUUAUAUAUUUCAUCUAGAUUUUAGAACUAGUUCAUUGAGCAAUAUUCAUACUUACAGCUGAGAGGUCUACAGUUUUUACAUCUAAAGCAGAAUCAUCAUCUUCAAUACUACCUCCAGUCCGAUCUACCAUCUCUACCCUGGAAAAUUCACCAUCUUUAACCUCUGCAACUGGUGGAAUCUCAGGGUGCCAACGGUUGUGAAGAGGUAGUGUUUGCUCCCAUGGUUUCUUCUUCAAAUCUAUGGGCACUACCAGUCUUGGGGUUGAAGGAGGCAUAAGUGAACUAGCUAGCGGAAAUGCAGAGAGUUUUCUCUUUUUUUUUCUUAAAAUCUCUAGGUAAAUGGAGUGGUAUCCAUUAGUCUAGUGGAAUUAGUAAUGGCAGCUUUUCCUAUGAUUCCCUGAAUUUCCAUUCAGUAGAUGACACGUCAUAUUUCAAGGUCUUAUAAUUAAUGAAGAUGAUUAACCUAUUUCUGUCAAUUUUAAAAAAAAAAAAAAUAAACAUAGCUAAAUAUUCUAAAUUUUUUUCUCCUGGCAUCCAAAAAAUCCAUUGAACUCCCACCCAGCAAAUUUGUAGACAGAAACCAAACCCACCGCCUAUGCUUUGAUACAGCCUAUAAACUAUAGGUUAUGUGCGGCAGAUUAAGCGGAAACGGAAGGCUGGAACACAGAAAGACUGCAAAAAAUAAGGUAUUAUAACUCACAAUAGAAGUAUCAGCAUGCUUGAUGACCUCUGCAGAGUUUUCUUGUAAUUCCACCCCCACUAAAGUCCAUCAUCUCAAUCCUACAAACCUCUCUGGCCCUGAUCUCUGAGACCGGCGGCAUGUCCAGGUGCCACCUGUUGUGAAGGGGGAGUUUCUGCUCCCAUGGCUUCUUCUUCACAUCUAUAGGAAAUACUAGUCUUGCAUCAAAUUGAGCCAUAAAGUUGUAGCCAAAGUCUCAAUCUUGAAGUGCAAAGAAAGUUAGGUAUGUGAACAAGUAUCCUAAGAGUUGCUGAAGUGUUACUGGUUGCAACCUUCAUUUUUCAGUUUGUAGUAAGCAUUCACAGCCAUGAAUGGCACCAUAGAAUUUUUUUUUUCCUUCUCUUGGUUGAUGGACCACUUGAUAAAAGUUGAUUUGAUGUAUUUGAUAGAUAUUCUCGGAUGUUUACAAGAGGAAAACAACAGGAACUGAAGGGGGUGAUAAACUAAUAAUUACAGUAAUACUAAAUUUGUGUGCUUGUAAAUCCUAUAGGCUACACUUUUCUUGAAGAAAAGACAGUGAAAAGCUUAUGCUUAGCUGAUAACAAAAGUUAGCCACUCAUUAGGGAAUAAUACCUGUACUUGUUCUUGGUGGUGAAACUUUUGAUCUUAUCUCCAAAGAUAAAAAAUUUUCCUAGUGCGUCUUGAUUUGAUUCAACAUGGUACUAUUUUUCUUGAUGUAAUCGUCCUGGAAUCCUAUGAUAAAUCUUUUGUACUAAAGAUUCCUCUCUGAUUAAUUAAAACUUAGUGUGUAUUUUCACCAAGCAUCUGGACUGCUGCUAAGAAACACCAUCAUUCUGGGGUGAAGAUAAGCCUUUAAUCUAAUCCAAAUUGCCUUCUUAGAUGACCCCACAAAUCGGAAUAUCAGAGACUUUGCCUAUAUUUCAUGAUGAUUUGAGGUUUUGUUUGUUCUCGUAGAGAAAACUUUACCUUAUCUAGCUUUUUUACUUAAUAUAUGGUCCCCAGCUGCUGCUGUUCAUAACAGGGAUUCUACUGCAAUCUCUCCGUUGCUGCUAAAAUGAUUGGAUCAUUUGGUCCCAUCCUCCAUUCUUAUGAACAUAUCAACUUGAAUGCCUUAUCUUGUCAACUAGCUAUAUAUAUAUUAUUGCAGGCUCUUCAUCAGUAGCUUCACUGAAAUUAUGAAAUGUAUCAAUAUCUCUCUUUCCCUUAAAUAUCUUGUUUCAAGCAUAAUUGCAUUCAUGAAGGGGUGGACCACUGGUGCAUUAGAUUUAAGCACUACAUUAAUGACAAUUUUCUUAUAAGGUAUCUUAUCCUUUUAUAUCAGCUAGCACUGUUUAAUGGAAUUAUCCUCUUGUAAUACACACCUAGUUGUGCACAAGAUUAGUGGUCCAGGC
rnacentral:misc_RNA from 1 species